rnacentral:rRNA from 1 species
UGUAAGCGUAUACCAAAGUUGUUGCAGUUAAAACGCUCGUAGUCGGAAUUUGGCAGUUCCGGAUGUGUGCACGUCGUGUGCGCACUUCGCGGGGAUUGCUUUUGUGGUCUUGCGUAGGAUGAGGCACUUUUAUUAGUGAACGUCCUCACGCAACCACUUUUUACUGUGAGAAAAUCAGAGUGCUCAAAGCAGGCAUUUGCUGUGAAUGUAUUAGCAUGGAAUAAUAGAAUAGGACUUGGUUCUAUUUUGUUGGUUUGUUGGGACUGAGUAAUGAUUAAGAGGGACAGUUGGGGGCAUUUGUAUUUCGGUGCUAGAGGUGAAAUUCUUAGAUUACCGAAAGACAAACUGCUGCGAAAGCGUCUGCCAAGGAUGUUUUCAUUGA